AAUUAUCGCCCAGUUUGAUCUGAUUAUCUAUUUUUAAAAAAAUUUUAAUUUUACUGUCUAACCUUCUAAUUUAUUUAAUCUGCGUCGGUUAAUGACUCUUUAAUUUCAAAUUUUAAAUGUGUUAUCUAUAUUUAUAGAUUUAAUUAGUAUACUUUUUUGUAAUUCAUAUAAAUAUAAAUUUAAUGAAAUAAGUCAUUAGUUUAAAUUUUGUAUCGGAAGAAUCAUUAAAUGACUUAAAUCAAACAAAUUAAAAUUAAAAUUUUUAAAGAUUGAAUAGUCGAAUCUAAUGGUCUGUAUAUAAUUUAGGUAAGUUGUAUAUAUUUUUACUUCUUUACUUUUGUUAGAGUAAGUUAGAUAUAACAUUUCUGUUUUGGCAAUAUCAAAACUUGCUCGACAAUAUCAAUUUAUUUUUGUAAUUCAUUGGGUUUUGGAUCGUUUUUCGCCCCCUAAUUAACGUUCAAUCUCCUUCUAAUUAUUAUUUGAAAAUCUAUUAUUACUAUAUACUAAAGUAGAACCCUUAAUGAACCCUAUGUGAAAAGCUGACACGUGGCGCUCUAUAUGUUUGCCAUGUGUCAAGCUCAAAUAUAGAUUUUUUAUUUUAGAAAAAAAAAAUAGAUUUUUUAAGAAAAUAAUAUCUUUUACUAUAUAGAAAAUCUACGUGUCAAGCUCAAAU
rnacentral:lncRNA from 1 species